AUUACCUUCAUCACUAUCUCUAUUCUCCUACAUUCCACCCAUCCACACUUGGCAUCACAGGAGCACAAGUUUAAGUGCUCGCUUCCCUCAAGGUGGGUCAGAGACAUACCUCAGGCUGCGUGCACUGAGAGGGUCCAACAGCAUGAAAUACUUUCUGCUUGGAAGGAAGGAUUUGUUCAGCGACACUAUUGCAUCUGAUUAUGCGACACUGCAUGGUACCAGGAAUAAACAGACAUCAAAGACAGCGCUGUGAAUGGAAGGACUGCUAAAAGCUUUAGCCAGAGACACUGAAAAAACAGGGAGAAAGGACAUGGAAGAGACCUAUGCAGCAUGUAUCUCCAAAAGUGUGACUCUGGCUAAUCCCAGACUGGACAAGCUGUUUUGCUCUUUCCCUGGACCCUCAUCCUUUAAGAAAU